rnacentral:rRNA from 1 species
GCCAGACUCCUACGGGAGGCAGCAGUGGGGAAUAUUGCACAAUGGGGGGAACCCUGAUGCAGCGACGCCGCGUGGGCGAGGAAGUAUUUCGGUAUGUAAAGCCCUAUCGGCAGGGAAGAAGAAAUGACGGUACCUGAAUAAGAAGCACCGGCUAAAUACGUGCCAGCAGCCGCGGUAAUACGUAGGGGGCAAGCGUUAUCCGGAUUUACUGGGUGGAAAGGGGGCGCAGACGGCGAUGCAAGCCAGGAGUGAAAGCCCGGGGCCCAACCCCGGGACUGCUCUUGGAACUGCGCGGCUGGAGUGCAGGAGGGGCAGGCGGAAUUCCUGGUGUAGCGGUGAAAUGCGUAGAUAUCAGGAGGAACACCGGUGGCGAAGGCGGCCUGCUGGACUGCGACUGACGUUGAGGCCCGAAAGCGUGGGGAGCAAACAGGAUUAGAUACCCGCGUAGA